ACAGCAGUCGCCGCGGUAAUACGUAGGGGGCGAGCGUUGUCCGAAGUUACUGGGCGUAAAGCGCGCGUAGGCGGCUUCUUAAGUCUGAGGUGAAAGGUUCAACGCUUAACGUGAACAGUGCCUUGGAUACUGGGGAGCUUGAGUAUGGGAGAGGGCAGUGGAAUGGCUGGUGUAGCGGUGAAAUGCGUAGAUAUCAGUCGGAACACCCAUGGCGAAGGCAGCUGCCUGGCCUAAUACUGACGCUGAGGUGCGAAAGCGUGGGGAGCGAACGGGAUUAGAUACCCCUGUAGUCCCUGUCUCUUAUA
rnacentral:rRNA from 1 species